rnacentral:rRNA from 1 species
UGGCGACCGGCGCACGGGUGAGUAACACGUAUCCAACCUGCCGAUGACUCGGGGAUAGCCUUUCGAAAGAAAGAUUAAUACCCGAUGGCAUAGUUCUUCCGCAUGGUAGAACUAUUAAAGGAUUUCGGUCAUCGAUGGGGAUGCGUUCCAUUAGGUAGUUGGUGGGGUAACGGCCUACCAAGCCGACGAUCAGUAGCCGACCUGAGAGGGUGACCGGCCACAUUGGGACUGAGACACGGCCCAA